GGGAGAGAGAGCCCGGCCGCCGCGAUGGUCGUACCGGUGACGGUAUGACCACCCAACGUGAUCCAUCCCGACGGGAUGCAUCACGCUCUAACGUGGCCCAUCUCUUCGAGAUGCGCCACGCCCGCGAGGAAAGUCCCCCCACCUGUUCGGGCAGGUGACCGGACGCAAGUCCGGAGCGGGAGACCGCUGGCUCUGGAACAGAAACGACACGUCUCGGCCCGACCGAUGACGCGUGCGAAUCCGACCGAGAGGAAGGAGAGUUGACCCGCAGAGGGCGGCGGUCGCAGUGACGUGGUUCGAAACCACAGGUCGUGUUCGUCACGGCCGACCGCUCACGGACGGCCGAGGAACGAUGGAACGGCGAACCCUCACCGGUGCAAGUCCGCGCCGUGGUAGCCCGAACGCCCCGCGGCACCGCCGCGGACGGCGCGGACGCUCAGCCGAAUGCCGGGCCGAACAGAAGGGGGCUUACUCCUCUCACCC
rnacentral:RNase_P_RNA from 1 species